AACGAACGCUGGCGGCAGGCCUAACACAUGCAAGUCGAGCGGCAGCGGGUCCUUCGGGAUGCCGGCGAGCGGCGGACGGGUGAGUAAUGCCUAGGAAUCUGCCUGGUAGUGGGGGAUAACGUUCGGAAACGGACGCUAAUACCGCAUACGUCCUACGGGAGAAAGUGGGGGAUCUUCGGACCUCACGCUAUCAGAUGAGCCUAGGUCGGAUUAGCUAGUUGGUGGGGUAAAGGCUCACCAAGGCGACGAUCCGUAACUGGUCUGAGAGGAUGAUCAGUCACACUGGAACUGAGACACGGUCCAGACUCCUACGGGAGGCAGCAGUGGGGAAUAUUGGACAAUGGGCGAAAGCCUGAUCCAGCCAUGCCGCGUGUGUGAAGAAGGUCUUCGGAUUGUAAAGCACUUUAAGUUGGGAGGAAGGGCAGCUAGUUAAUACCUGGUUGUUUUGACGUUACCAACAGAAUAAGCACCGGCUAACUUCGUGCCAGCAGCCGCGGUAAAAC
rnacentral:rRNA from 1 species